rnacentral:lncRNA from 1 species
ACAUGAUGAGAUAAUUUAUGUGCAUGGCACUUGAUUUAUCCCUAAGUAUAAUAGACACAUCUUGGAAUAGCUAACCAAAGAAAGGUAACGUUCUUGAUGCAUGAAUAUUGGAGCCAUUUGUUGGAGAAAAUGUAGAAAGUUAGGCGAAGUUAUCUUGCAUCCUCUGAAGCUCUUGUUCCACCUAUUCCCUCUUCAUCUCCUGCCAGC